rnacentral:rRNA from 1 species
UACGUAUGGUGCGAACGUUGUUCGGAAUCACUGGGCAUAAAGAGCACGUAGGCGGUUAAGCAAGUCCAUUGUGAAAUCCCCCGGCCUAACCGGGGAACUGCAUUGGAUACUACUUGACUUGAGUGCAGGAGGGGAGAGUGGAAUUCCAGGUGGAGCGGUGAAAUGCGUAGAUAUCUGGAGGAACGCCGGCGGCGAAAGCGACUCUCUGGUCUGUAACUGACGCUGAGGUGCGAAAGCUAGG